UACGUAGGGUGCGAGCGUUAAUCGGAAUUACUGGGCGUAAAGCGUGCGCAGGCGGUUUUGUAAGCCAGAUGUGAAAUCCCCGGGCUUAACCUGGGAAUGGCAUUUGGGACUGCAAGGCUUGAGUGUGGCAGAGGAGACUGGAAUUCCUGGUGUAGCAGUGAAAUGCGUAGAUAAUCAGGAGGAACACCGAUGGCGAAGGCAGGUCUCUGGGCUGACACUGACGCUCAUGCACGAAAGGCGUGGGGAGCAAACGAGG
rnacentral:rRNA from 1 species